CCACCAUCUCGUGAGUGUUUACGAAAAAAUACUUCAGAGUGUACCUGAAAGGGUUCACAUGAACCGUUAUAACCGGCGAUWYCCGAAUGGGGAAACCCAGUGUGAYUCGUCACACUAUCAUUAACUGAAUCCAUAGGUUAAUGAGGCGAACCGGGGGAACUGAAACAUCUAAGUACCCCGAGGAAAAGAAAUCAACCGAGAUUCCCCCAGUAGCGGCGAGCGAACGGGGAGGAGCCCAGAGCCUGAAUCAGCAUGUGUGUUAGUGGAAGCGUCUGGAAAGGCGCGCGAUACAGGGUGACAGCCCCGUACACAAAAGCGCAUGUGCUGUGAGCUCGAUGAGUAGGGCGGGACACGUGGUAUCCUGUCUGAAUAUGGGGGGACCAUCCUCCAAGGCUAAAUACUCCUGACUGACCGAUAGUGAACCAGUACCGUGAGGGAAAGGCGAAAAGAACCCCGGCGAGGGGAGUGAAAAAGAACCUGAAACCGUGUACGUACAAGCAGUGGGAGC
rnacentral:rRNA from 1 species